CAGCUCGCCCCCUAGCUACAUCCGUCACCUGACACGGCCCUACCAGGAACAGCCGCGCUCCCGCGGAUUCUGAUUUGGAAAACAAGCGAAAUUAAACUAAACCGCUGCACGCCUCUGACGCGACAUCUGGACACGGCGCGGCGCUGGCGCUGCCGGAGCUGUCGACCCGGCCUGGCGCCGGACUAGGACUAUUUGCCACGACAUUUCAAAGGAUUCCAAGAGAGAAUAUUGGUGUCCAUGCUGUGAUGAUUCCUCAGCUCCUCUCAUCUGAUCUCCGUCCUGGCCCCCAUGACUUUCUUUGUGGUAGUUAGGGUGUGGUAUGUGCCACUGAGGCCCACACCUAUUGCUGCAAUUUAUAGCACUGAUCUGUCAUCAAUACCACUUGCUGUCUUGGAUGUGAAGAUGAUUUUUCCUGCAGGGAUUCCCUCUACAAAAUUAAAAACACUGGGCAUGUGGAAAUAAUAUUCAUGCUUUAAAUUGUCUUUUCUCUUCACUACACCAGGGGUCCCCAACCCCUAGGCCACAGACUGUGGCCCUAGUGUAGUGAAUAGAAAAGACAAUUUAAAGCGUGAAUAUUAUUUCCUCAUGCCCAGUGUUUUUAAUUUUGUACUGGUCUGUGGCUUGUUAGAAACCAGGCUGCACAGCAGAAGGUGGGCAGCAGGUGAGCAAGCAUUACUGCUUGAGUUCCGCCUCCUGUCAGAUCAGCAGUGGCAUUAGAUUCUCAUAGGAGCACAAACCCUAUUGUGAACUGCACACGCAAGGGAUCUAGGUUGUGCGCCCUUUAUGAGAAUCUAACUAAUGGCUGAUGAUCUGACGUGGAACAGUUUCAACCCAGAGCACCCCCCACCCACCUGCAGAAGAAUUGACUUUUACGAAACCAGUCCCUGGUGCCAAAAAGGUUGGGGACCACCGCUGCACUACACUACCUAAAAGAUUUUCACUUUCACAGUGUUGCUUGCUUCUGUUUUACAUGCACAAGUAGCUAAAGCUAGCCUUCUGGUAAAUGGAGGGGCAGAGCAGAUGGUGGGGGAGGAGUACAUACGGACGAAUUUGAAUCACAAUUUCCUCACUAUAUGCCAGCAAAAUUUAAUAAUAGCACCUAAACAUACACAUGCAUAUGUAAAUGAGUCACACUAUAAAAACUUUUAACAAGUACUGGCAAGUCAGAUGGCAGACUUACCCUGAAACCUGCCACUCCAAUAAAAACCUCAUAAUUAAAAACAAGGCUGUCUAUAAAGCAUAACAUAUAAUAACAAUUAUUUGCAACUGGUACAAGGCUAGAUUAGAAAGUUGAAAGUUAUCUUUCUCAGGUAAAAAUGCUUUUCCUAUACAGUAUGCAGCCAGCAGAUUAUCAUCCAUAGUUUGAGUAGUGAGAUGCCACUUGCUCCAACAAUUAACACCUGCUGAUGUUGGUCCAAGAAGAGACUGAGGUGAUGCAGUUUCACCUGUUUUGUAAGAAUAACGCUGGUGUUUGCCAUCUAUUGACAGAGUGCCUACUACGUGCCAGAUGCUUUGUUGGCACUGAAUGUGCUAUCUCAUUCCAGUUUCUUUAUACUCAAUGAAAAACCAACUACAUUUAUAUUGCAUUGAGGCUUAAAGUGGUUUACUGACUUGCUUAAGAUUAUACAAGUAGUAGGUGGCUACAGCAGGGUUUGAACCCAAGUAUGCUUGAUUCCCCAAACCAUGCUUUUUAAAAAAUCAAAGGUGUAACUUCGAUAAAAGACAUGAAGUUAAUGAAUAUAUGAAAGAUGGUGAAUAGAUACAGAUACAAUGUGGCCUUAGGCCAGAUCAUGUUGAACAUGUGGUGGGAUAGAUAAGAGAAGGUUCUUCUUUGUUGUUACCUGGUUCUCAAUUGGUUAUUACUUUAUGUGCUUUCCAUAUUAAAAUUCUAUUAUUCUGGUCUAUAAAUUCACCCACCCAGACUUGCCUAAACUAAUUAAACCCUGAAGUUUGGCAUGUCUCUUUUUUGGGGUGCCUCUAUGAUAGGUGGUAGAAAUGAAAAUGGAAUUAAAAGUUUUGUGAAGCUAUAGCACUACUUUUUCAUUGUGUUCCCCCCUGACUUUCUGCCUUAGGUGUUUACUUUGGUGAGAUAUCCUGGGAGAAAUUGAGGUGAAAAGAAGCCCGAGUUAGGAUUAGGGAAGAGAUGAAGUAGUCAAUAAAAUUCAAAUUCUUGUAUUCUGAAACGCAACUAUUCUUUCUCCAACUUGGUUUUGGACAGAAUGUCUUAGUGUAGCUGUUAACAAAGAAAUUGAUGACAAUUAACUCCCAUUUCUCAGAAUUUCAUCAUUCUUUGAAAGUGUUUAUCAUACUCAAUCUUCUAAAAAUCCUUAAGGCAUACUACAGUGUAGAGGUUGGCAAACUUUUUCUAUAGAGGUCCUGAUAGUAGCUUGUUUCGCUUUUGAGGGCCAUCGAGUUUCUGUCACAACUACUCAUCUCUGCUGUUGUAAUAAAGACUCACCCAUAGACAAUACAUGAAUGAAGGAGUAUCUAUGUUCCAAUAAGACUUUUAAAAAUAAAAUUAGGCAGCAAGACUGAUUUGACAUAAGGGUCAUAAUUUGCUAACCUGUGGUAUAGUGAAAGGAGUUCAACUAGAGUUUGAUUAUGGCUGUGCCAUUCUAGUUGGGUAGUUUUAGGAAAGUUAUUUAAUUUAGAUUUGAUGUAGUUUUCUCAUAUGUAAAAUGGGGAUAAUAAAACCUGCUUCACAAGACUACUAUGAGGAGUAAGCUAUGUAGCUAAAUAUAGCAAAAUAUCUGGCAUCUAAUAGAUGCCUAAUAAAUGGUGACUAUAAUGAUUCUUAUCAUUACUGUAUUAUUUUAAACAUUUAUCUUUUUUUUUUAGGUUGUUGUCUAACUAAGGUAUUUAGAGAAAAUAAGUGCUGCUGAGGGCAGCUGGAACUGUUUUGCUGGUUCAUCACUGAAAUUCUAGUUCUUGUUGGUGCUUAUUUCAUAAUUAUGAAACUAAUUCUUUUGAAAAGAACUUGAAGUAGAGCAACAAGAACUAAGAUAGAACUAAUACCAUUCUCUCUCAGUUCUUAUUGCUUUACUUCAAGUUCUUUUGAAAAGAAUUACAUAGAUAUGGGUGCAUGUGUUUGUUUAUUUUCCUUGUUGGGUAAUCGUGAAUAUGUUGAUUGGCGUCAAACAUGGGUCUCACCUAUACCCAUGGCAGUAAGCUUCUAUUGAUUUGAAUUCAGACUAGCCCUGGUGGCCCUGUGAGUGGGAAAGUCUAGGUGUGCCUAGCUUGGUCUGUGGUUCCACGAGGGGUUGGAUGCAUCUGUUCUACUUGUGGAAUGUUGGCACCAAUAUAUUGGCUGCUUCUCCGAGUAUUUGCCUUUGUCUUCUUUGUGAAAGGUCACUGGCUGGUUUGAGCUAUUGGGCUGUUUAUGCCACAUCCUGUGCAUGCCACACUGGCUUUCUUUCUGUGGUGUUUCCAGAGAUAAGUUUGCCUGAUAGAAGUCAGACUCUGUGGCUUUUUAUCAUUAUAGAUUUUUCUAGAAGGAGAAGAGGCCAUGAUCACAUCUGAGGAUCCUGAGUCAUUGUAGACAUGUACUGAAUUAAAGAGAAUUUUUUGACUAAAGGAGAAUUGCAUCAAUCACGGUGAAGGAGAUGCCACAGGACAGGGCCUGAGGUGUUGGCUUAGCCACAGAUGUAAGGGCUACAGUUAACAGACAACUUUCAGUUUCCACUAUUGGAAGGGAUGAUCAGUCCUUCCCUCCUCUAUUUUCUUGAGCCCCGUUUUUCACCUUUCUUUUUCUCUCUCCUUUCUUAUCAUGAAGAAUAAAGACAAAUGAGAACAGAUCUACCUUAGGCUGAUACAGGGCAGGGAAUCCAUUUAAUAAUAAAACGUGGGUCAAAAUUCACUUUUCUCCUUUUGAAUUGAAAUUAUAUUGUGCAUGGGCUAAUUAGAUUGAAUGCUGUAAACAUGAAGAUAAUGCUUGCAAAGUAGCUACAGAGAAAGAGAAAAAGCCUAAAACAACCAGUAGUGCUUAGGACCAAUAGUAUAAGUCUUUACACACUACAUUUGAAUAAUACUGUAAGACACAAUUCUUUGAUAGGUUAAAUAGCAAAUCUAGGCCCCCCAAAAUUAUUUAAAAAAUUGUCAUUUUAAUUCUAGAGGUAUAACAACAGUGUGUAAGUUGCAUCAAAUAACAAAGUUAGUCUACAGCCUAAAUUGUUUCGUCCUGCUUUUUUCACUUCUAUGCAUAUUUUUAUACUUCCAUGCUAGAGCUACCUCAUUCUUUUAAAAUUGUGAGAUAUUCUAUAAUUUAUUUGUAUUCCCCUAUUAAUAUAUUUUUAGCUUAUUAGUUUACUUAAAAAGAUUUAUGUUUGCCUUCUAAUGUCAAAGUUAGGAGUCAUCUGUCCAUUUAACAGGUGGUGUUUUCUUGUGUAACUCCUCUGCCUUCAUGCAAACCUUUGAGAACAAUCUCUUGAAACAAGGCUAAAAUGCCUUUGGAGAGGUAUUAUAGAUGAUCAUAUCUACUUUGUGCCUCUUUCCAUUACUUAGCUGCAUUAGAGGCCCAGCUGUGUAGGUGUAACUCAAAAUCCACCAAAACUAAUACUGUGGUUAGAUUCUGGUCAAACAAGUUGCCAUUAAUCCAGAUGUAGAAUGGGAUUGAAAGGUGGCUCUUCCACACCCUGACAUCAAUGUACCAGUUUGGCUCUGUGCAUUCUUUCUCCCCUUCUCCCUUUACCACCCUCAUAUAAUUGUUUGUGUACAUGUCUGGUUUCGUCACUACGCUGAUGGCAAGGAUCAUGCAUGCCUUAUUCAUAUUUGUGUUAUUCAAGGAUUCUACUCUGGGUUCUAUUAUGGGGCCUGGCCUAAAGUGGUUGUUCAAGAAAUGUGUGUUAGAGAAAUCAUACAUAAACUAGCAAUUCUCAUUUGGAUUCCUGUAUCUGAACAACUAACUUUCAGCUUCUUCAGUGGGAUAAAGAAGAAAAAUGGGGUUUAAAGUACAUACUAUUCAGUAUUAAUGUAGAAUUUAACAGCUGCCAUCCAAGUGCAGAAUCCUCUGUAGUUUCCCAGUGUUAACCUCACUUCUAUCUCUAGCCAUGUCUCAGUGCUGGGUGACUCUCUCCUGGCAUGUUCUGGCAAGACUCUACCUGGUUUGCGUAAUCUACAUCGGCUUCUAGUUUCCACAAGAAUUGUUUAUAUGCAUUUAAUUUUAGCUCUUGGGCUAUAACAUGUCAUUGUUCUUUUUACUUAUCUCCUCUUACUUCUGGAAACAGGGCAGGCAUCUUCAAUACUUGCUGUUCCUGUUUGGUGUGCUCUUAGAUUAAUUUUAACUUUCCUCUUCAGCUUUCAUGACACUUCAAGACAUUUUCCAGUCAUAUUUCCUGUAUAAGAAAAUACAGACUAUGUCACCACAAAGGGUAGUGGAGAUUGGGGGGCAUAAUUUAAUUCAUUCAGGGAACUCAUAUUUUGGUGUGAAUGGAAAUUAAAGCAAGGUAUUUGGAUUAAUUUACCUCAUUUGGUUCUAUAUUCCAUUUAGAGGAUAACACAUUAAGCUUUUAUUCAAUUUUAUCUGUUAUGGUCACAGUGAAUCUGGAAAAAAAUAUAUAUGGGGCUUAGUUUUCAUAUUUAGGGGAAAAUGAAUAUCCUAGAGAAUAAUAAUAAAAGUUAGGGAAAAUAAUGUUUUCCUAAGAGUAGGCAAUGAAAAUCUGAAGGUACUCAAAGCAGUCUUGCACAAGUGCUUUGAAAAGCCUCUUGCACAAUUUUAUUUCUUUAUAGUACUUACACAAUCAUAUUUCAUAAUGACUUGCUAUAAACAAUGUUCUUGACAAGAAGCUUAAAGAUACAAAACUGAAGGAAGCACUUUUGGGAGAAAAUACUUUUAUAUUUGCUUACUUCUACACUACAACAGACAUAAAAUUAUGGAUUUUUUUUUCAGUGCAAUUUUCAUAUGUCAGUUCUAGGAGACAGGAAAUGUGAAACACUGUAGGAGGUAUGAGUUUGCCACCUAGAGGAGAGAGGUGAAAUUCAACUUUUCUCCAAUUUCUUUAGUAUAAUUCAUUAAUUUAUUUAAUUAUUUACUCGUUUAAUUAUUCAAAAAUAAUUAUCUACCAAGCUUAACUAUUUUGCCAGCGCAGAUUUGAUAAAUCUGUUCAAGAUUUAUGAGCUCAAAGAAACCACAAAGUGCAUCUUACUUUAAUUGCUCAGCUGCCUCUUUUAAAAAUCUUUUACUUUUAAGAGAGUAUAGCACAAAUAUCUGAACAACUCUAAAUAUCCAUACUUGGGAUGGAUAUUACUUUGAGCUCUUGCACUAUAAUAAAACUUUAUUCUUUUGUACUAAUUCAGUCCUUUUACUUUUUCUUUUUUAAUGUUUAAGAAACAAGUUGGAUAUGGACAAGAUGUAAUUUCUUCUGUCAAGGAACCCACAGGAUAAUAGGUUAAUGAUAGAGACCAACAAUGCUGAUGCAUUUUUAAUGACGGAGAUAAUGUCUAGAAAAAAAUCCAUUAUUUGGUAAAGACAAAGUAUGCAUAUGUAUUCCUUUGUUUCAAUUAUUUUUAAAGUUAAAAAACAACUGCUUAUCUCCUUUUGUACUACAAGCAAUAUCUGGUAUAGUGUAUGCAUAGUAAGUAUUCUAGAAAUAGUAAUUUCAUUGUUGACUUGAUUAUAUUGGAGUGGAACUUACUCUGGAAGAGAUCCUAACUUUCAUUUAUCUGAGAAAAUUUCCAGUUAGGACAUGGAAAUUUUUUCCUUGUCAAUAUUUAUUCUUAAUGUGUUUAGAAUUUUAGAAAAUGGGUUUAGGGAUUUAGAAAUUUCUUUACUAAAUAACUCUAGGGAACAGUACCUUAAAAAUAUUCAAAAUGACAAAAACUUAAAAUGACAUCUAAUUUUUUAAGGCCAAGAAUCAUUAAAAAGGGAUCCAAAUCUUUAGACUUUGUUGCUCGGUGGAACUAGAAUCAUUAAUAUCUCAGUCAGGGGAAGCCAUGUCAACUUACUGGUUUAAUUUCCUGUGAGCUUCCCAUGUUCUCUCCCUGCAAGGACCACCUCAAAUCCCUCAGUAGUCCUGUCUUUAUGAAACCAGUAUAAUUUUUCUUUUCGCUCUUGUCCUUCACCUUCCUGUGGCAACAAGAGUCAAUUCUCCAUAUAUAAAUACUCGGCCCCUGUUUUAGCUGUGUCUUAAUUGCGCAACAUCUGUUUACUCUGUGUUUUAACAUCUGUGUGGAUAGCAU
ensembl:lncRNA CDKN2B-AS1 CDKN2B antisense RNA 1